rnacentral:rRNA from 1 species
CCAGCUUGGCGUUGGUUGUCCAAGUUUAAGGUGGUAGGCUGAGAUCUUAGGUAAAUCCGGGAUCUUAAGGCCGAGAGCUGAUGACGAGUCGUCUUUUAGACGACGAAGUGGUUGAUGCCAUGCUUCCAAGAAAAGCUUCUAAGCUUCAGGUAACCAGGAACCGUACCCCAAACCGACACAGGUGGUUGGGUAGAGAAUACCAAGGCGCUUGAGAGAACUCGGGUGAAGGAACUAGGCAAAAUGGCACCGUAACUUCGGGAGAAGGUGCGCCGGUGAGGGUGAAGGACUUGCUCCGUAAGCUCAUGCCGGUCGAAGAUACCAGGCCGCUGCGACUGUUUAUUAAAAACACAGCACUCUGCAAACACGAAAGUGGACGUAUAGGGUGUGACGCCUGCCCGGUGCCGGAAGGUUAAUUGAUGGGGUUAGCUAACGCGAAGCUCUUGAUCGAAGCCCCGGUAAACGGCGGCCGUAACUAUAACGGUCCUAAGGUAGCGAAAUUCCUUGUCGGGUAAGUUCCGACCUGCACGAAUGGCGUAACGAUGGCGGCGCUGUCUCCACCCGAGACUCAGUGAAAUUGAAAUCGCUGUGAAGAUGCAGUGUAUCCGCGGCUAGACGGAAAGACCCCGUGAACCUUUACUAUAGCUUUGCACUGGACUUUGAAUUUGCUUGUGUAGGAUAGGUGGGAGGCUUUGAAGCGUGGACGCCAGUCUGCGUGGAGCCAACCUUGAAAUACCACCCUGGCAACUUUGAGGUUCUAACUCAGGUCCGUUAUCCGGAUCGAGGACAGUGUAUGGUGGGUAGUUUGACUGGGGCGGUCUCCUCCUAAAGAGUAACGGAGGAGUACGAAGGUGCGCUCAGACCGGUCGGAAAUCGGUCGUAGAGUAUAAAGGCAAAAGCGCGCUUGACUGCGAGACAGACACGUCGAGCAGGUACGAAAGUAGGUCUUAGUGAUCCGGUGGUUCUGUAUGGAAGGGCCAUCGCUCAACGGAUAAAAGGUACUCCGGGGAUAACAGGCUGAUACCGCCCAAGAGUUCAUAUCGACGGCGGUGUUUGGCACCUCGAUGUCGGCUCAUCACAUCCUGGGGCUGAAGCCGGUCCCAAGGGUAUGGCUGUUCGCCAUUUAAAGUGGUACGCGAGCUGGGUUUAGAACGUCGUGAGACAGUUCGGUCCCUAUCUGCCGUGGACGUUUGAGAUUUGAGAGGGGCUGCUCCUAGUACGAGAGGACCGGAGUGGACGAACCUCUGGUGUUCCGGUUGUCACGCCAGUGGCAUUGCCGGGUAGCUAUGUUCGGAAUAGAUAACCGCUGAAAGCAUCUAAGCGGGAAACUAGCCUCAAGAUGAGAUCUCACUGGAACCUUGAGUUCCCUGAAGGGCCGUCGAAGACUACGACGUUGAUAGGUUGGGUGUGUAAGCGCUGUGAGGCGUUGAGCUAACCAAUACUAAUUGCCCGUGAGGCUUGACCAU